rnacentral:rRNA from 1 species
UACGUAGGGUGCGAGCGUUGUCCGGAAUUACUGGGCGUAAAGAGCUCGUAGGUGGUUUGUCGCGUUGUUCGUGAAAACCGGGGGGCUUAACCUCUGGCGUGCGGGCGAUACGGGCAGACUGGAGUACUGCAGGGGAGACUGGAAUUCCUGGUGUAGCGGUGGAAUGCGCAGAUAUCAGGAGGAACACCGGUGGCGAAGGCGGGUCUCUGGGCAGUAACUGACGCUGAGGAGCGAAAGCGUGGGGGAGCGAACAGG